AUUGAACGCUAGCGGGAUGCUUAACACAUGCAAGUCGAACGAGUGGCGGACGGGUGAGUAAUAUAUCGGAACGUGCCCAGUAGCGGGGGAUAACUACUCGAAAGAGUGGCUAAUACCGCAUACCAUCGGAGUGGCUGAUAUGGGAUUAGCUAGUGGGUGGGGUAAAGGCUCACCAAGGCAACGAUCCAUAGCUGGUUUGAGAGGACGACCAGCCACACUGGAACUGAGACACGGCCCAGACUCCUACGGGAGGCAGCAGUGGGGAAUUUUGGACAAUGGGAGAAACCCUGAUCCAGCCAUCCCGCGUGUAUGAGAAGGCCUUCGGGUUGUAAAGUACUUUUGGCGGUGAAGCGUUAUCUGCAGAAUAAGCACCGGCUAACUACGUGCCAGCAGCCGCGGUAAUAC
rnacentral:rRNA from 1 species